CACGGCUUCGGUCUACCAACCCGAGCCAGUUAGAGAGUACGGGGCGUUCACAGACUCCCUUAGCCCGCCAGCAUGCUGCAUAUAAGGCCUUUGUCGAGCAUAGGAAUCUCGAGGUGCGAGAGUACUUGCAACGAGUGAAGGCAAAUGAUGAUUACAACCGUCAGAUGAUGGCGGCUAUGUUGGCGUCUUGGAGUAACCGCACGGAUCCACCACAAAUGGGACCCCCACCACCACCUGUGGGAGAACCCCCACACGUGCCCACGUUUGAUGAAUGGGUGGCACUAGGCAGUG